rnacentral:rRNA from 1 species
UCGACUAGCAUGCGAGUUGAGAGGGGUAAGCCCUCGGCGAAUUGCUCAGUAACACGCCGAUAACCUGCCCUUGGGUCCGGGAUAACCCCGGGAAACUGGGACUAAUACCGGAUAGAUCAAAGAUACUGGAAUGUUCCUUGGUCCAAAACUCCGGUGCCCAAGGAUGGGUCUGCGGCCUAUCAGGUUGUAGUGGGUGUAACGUACCUACUAGCCUACGACGGGUAAGGGUUGUGAGAGCAAGAGCCCUGAGAUGGAUUCUGAGACAUGAAUCCAGGCCCUACGGGGUGCAGCAGGCGCGAAAACCUUACACUGCUAGAAAUAGCGAUAAGGGGACCCCGAGUGCCAGUACCUAGUACUGGCUGUCCCGCUGUCCAAACAACAGUGGUUAGC